rnacentral:misc_RNA from 1 species
GGGUAAGUUUUAGGGAGUUAGAUGAAAUAAUUUUUUAAAUAGAAAGUUAAUGUAAUUAUUAAAAAGUAAUUAGUAUGUAUUUUUGAAUUAAUAAAAUUAUAUAGAGUUUAUUUUUUUGUAAUUAAAAUAAUGUUUAUGUUUCGUUUUUAAAUAGUGUAUAUGUUAGGUAUUUGAUAAAUAUAUUUUAAAAGUGAAUUUUGUUU